rnacentral:rRNA from 1 species
UACGUAGGGGCAAGCGUUAUCCGGAUUUACUGGGUGUAAAGGGAGCGCAGACGGAACUGCAAGUCUGAUGUGAAAGCCCGGGGCUCAACCGCGGGACUGCAUCGGAUACUGUAGAUCUGGAGUGCCGGAGGGGCAAGCGGAAUUCCUGGUGUAGCGGUGAAAUGCGUAGAUAUCAGGAGGAACACCAGUGGCGAAGGCGGGUAACUGGACUGCAACUGACGCUGAGGCGCGAAAGUGUGGGGAGCAAACAGGAUUAGA